CGGACGGACGUGGACGGACAGCGUGGACGGAGGGCGCAGGCCCCCGCGGCGCUUCCCUCCUAUCGUAGGAGGAGGGAUCCAGACUUUGCACCAGGAACCGCACCUUCCGCCUACUCCGCCUUUCAGGACCGCGCUGGCUGUGGGCAGGCUUGCGUUUACAAGGAAAUGAUUCCGCAUGAAGUGCGACGCACUCGGCCCCCGGUCGUCCUCGGCGGCGGCAGCAGCAGCAGCGACGACGAGACACUCUGCGCUAUCACACUGAGCCCCUCGAACCACUGAAGACCCCCGGACCGCCCCAGCCUCCCCUCGAACUGCCCCUCAACAUACUCACCACCAUCUUUAAUCCCUCCUCGCCGGCUCCGUACGGUCUGGAUCUUCUUCUUUGUUGCCAAGCGAAGCC
ensembl:lncRNA